GAUGAACGCUGGCGGCGUGCCUAAUACAUGCAAGUCGAGCGAACGGACGAGAAGCUUGCUUCUCUGAUGUUAGCGGCGGACGGGUGAGUCACUCGUGGAUAACCUACCUAUAAGACUGGGAUAACUUCGGGAAACCGGAGCUAAUACCGGAUGAUAUUUUGAACCUCAUGGUUCAAAAGUGAAAGACGCUCUUGCUGUCACUUAUAGAUGGAUCCGCGCUGCAUUAGCUAGUUGGUGAGGUAACGGCUUACCAACGCAGCGAUGGAAAGCCGCCCCGAGAGGGUGGUCGGCCACACGGGAACUGAGACAGGGUCCAGACUCCGGCGGGAGGAAGCAGUAGGGAAUCUUCCGCAAUGGGCGAAAGCCUGACGGAGCAACGCCGCGUGAAGGAUGAAGGUCUUCGGACCGUAAAACUAUGUUAGUAGGGAAGAACAUAUGUGUAAGUAACUGUGAACAUCUUGACGGUACCUAAUCAGAAAGCCACGGCUAACUACGUG
rnacentral:rRNA from 1 species